GUCUUUAAGAAAUUAAUUUAAAGUCUAAUCUGCCCAAUGAUUUAUUUUAAUGGCUGCAGAAUUUUAACUGUACAAAGGUAGCAUAAUAAUUUGUUUUUUAAUUAAAAACUAGCAUGAAAGAUUUAAUGAAAUAUAAACUGUUUCAAUUAAUUUUAUUUUAAAAUUUUUAUUUAAGUAAAAAAACUUAAAUUAUUUUUAAAGACGAUAAGACCCUAUAGAAUUUUAUUUAAUAUAUUUUAAUAUAAAAUUUAUUAAAUUUUAUUGGGAUAAUAAAAAAAUUAAAUUAAUUUUUUUUUAAUACAACAUUAAUUAAUGAAUUAAAUAUAUCUUAAUUUUUAAAUUAAAAAAAUUAAUUACCUUAGGGAUAACAGCAUAAUUUUUUUUAAAAGACCUUAUUAAUAAAAAAGAUUAU
rnacentral:rRNA from 1 species